rnacentral:rRNA from 1 species
UCGGGAAUUUUGGGCAAUGGGGGAAACCCUGACCCAGCAACGCCGCGUGAAGGAUGAAGUAUUUCGGUAUGUAAACUUCGAAAGAAUAGGAAGAAUAAAUGACGGUACUAUUUAUAAGGUCCGGCUAACUACGUGCCAGCAGCCGCGGUAAUACGUAGGGACCAAGCGUUGUUCGGAAUCACUGGGCGUAAAGCGCACGUAGGCGGAUGUGCCAGUCAGGGGUGAAAUCCCGGAGCUCAACUCCGGAACUGCCUCUGAUACUGCACGUCUUGAGUUCGAGAGAGGUGGGUGGAAUUCCUAGUGUAGAGGUGAAAUUCGUAGAUAUCGGGAGGAACACCAGUGGCGAAGGCGGCGAUCUGGGAAGAUACUGACGCUGAGGUGCGAAAGCGCGGGGAGCAAACAGGAUUAGAUACCCCAGUAGUCCCUGAGCGGGCUGGCAAGGCGCAU